CGAUGAUUUUCAAGACGUGAA
rnacentral:piRNA from 1 species